rnacentral:rRNA from 1 species
GACGAACGCUGGCGGCGUGCUUAACACAUGCAAGUCGAACGAGUGGCGAACGGGUGAGUAAUACGUGAGUAACCUGCCCUCUUUUUGGGAUAAGCCUUUGAAACGGGGUCUAAUAACGGAUAAAGGGGGAUGGGCUCGCGGCCUAUCAGCUUGUUGGUGGGGUGAUGGCCUACCAAGGCGGGGACGGGUAUCCGGCCUGAGAGGGUGACCGGCAAUAAUAGGACUGCGAUACGGCCAAGGGUGGUACGGGUGGGAACAGUUGGGGAAAUGGCGCAAGGGGGGAAAGGCUGAUACGGGGAAGACGAGAGGGGGAUGGAGGCUUUAGGGUUUUUAACCUCUGUCGAUAUCGAAGGGUAGGUGGAGAAGAAGCGCCGGCUAACUACGUGCCAGCAGCCGCGGUAAUUC